rnacentral:tRNA from 1 species
GCCGGAGUGGCGGAAUUGGCAGACGCGUGCGUUUGAGGGGCGUAUGGGGUUCACCCCCGUGGGGGUUCGAGUCCCCCCUCCGGCACCA